CCUACGGGGGGCAGCAGUGGGGAAUAUUGGACAAUGGGGGGAACCCUGAUCCAGCCAUGCCGCGUGUGUGAAGAAGGCCCUCGGGUUGUAAAGCACUUUCAGUGAGGAAGAACGCCUGGUGGUUAAUACCCAUCAGGAAAGACAUCACUCACAGAAGAAGCACCGGCUAACUCCGUGCCAGCAGCCGCGGUAAUACGGAGGGUGCGAGCGUUAAUCGGAAUUACUGGGCGUAAAGCGCGCGUAGGUGGCUUGAUAAGCCGGUUGUGAAAGCCCCGGGCUCAACCUGGGAACGGCAUCCGGAACUGUCAAGCUAGAGUGCAGGAGAGGAAGGUAGAAUUCCCGGUGUAGCGGUGAAAUGCGUAGAGAUCGGGAGGAAGACCAGUGGCGAAGGCGGCCUUCUGGACUGACACUGACACUGAGGUGCGAAAGCGUGGGUAGCAAACAGGAUUAGAUACCCGAGUAGUC
rnacentral:rRNA from 1 species